UUUCGGCCAAAGGAAAUGGUUGCUUAGUGGCGGACUGGUGAGUAACGCGUGAGGAACCUGCCUUUCAGAGGGGGACAACAGUUGGAAACGACUGCUAAUACCGCAUGACGCAUAGGGGUCGCAUGAUCUUUAUGCCAAAGAUUUAUCGCUUCAAGAUGGCCUCGCGUCUGAUUAGCUAGUUGGUGAGGUAACGGCCCACCAAGGCGACGAUCAGUAGCCGGACUGAGAGGUUGACCGGCCACAUUGGGACUGAGAUACGGCCCAGACUCC
rnacentral:rRNA from 1 species